UACGGAGGGUGCAAACGUUGCUCGGAAUUAUUGGGCGUAAAGCGCACGUAGGCGGCUACGCAAGUCGGGUGUGAAAUCCCUCGGCUUAACCGGGGAACUGCAUCCGAUACUGGAGGGCUUGAGUUUGGGAGAGGGAUGCGGAAUUCCAGGUGUAGCGGUGAAAUGCGUAGAUAUCUGGAGGAACACCGGUGGCGAAGGCGGCAUCCUGGACCGACAUUGACGCUGAACGGCGAAAGCUAGGGGAGCAAACGGG
rnacentral:rRNA from 1 species